rnacentral:lncRNA from 1 species
GGAAAACGGAGCACUGAUUGUCAUCACGUUUAGGAUUCUCUGUGUUCCCGUCUCUCUGCCUUUGUGUGUUCCAGCAAGAGGUGGAGUGCUAAGGAUUGAUCAGUCACAAAGGUGAACCCCCUCGUGCCUCCUUAUUUUGCUGUGACGAGUCAGCAAGCCUGUGUCGAGUUUGGGAAAUUGUCAGGCCCAGCCUGGUGACAAGCCUAGGACAACCUACCCCGCCA